rnacentral:lncRNA from 1 species
AUACUGCAACCAUAAUUUAAAAAUAUGUGCAUGCAAACAAAUAACUCUGAAAAUAAAAAGGUUAUUGCAACUCAAUCUCCCCAGGCUUAAAUGUUACGUUGUCCCCAAUGUUUAAAGAGGAGAAAAAGGAAAGAAAACUCACAAAAUCAACUAGGUGGUGGAUAAUGGCGUUGUUAGUGAUGCAUAGCUCGCAUAAUGGCUGACAUUUCUUGUUGUACAGCUCAAAUGUCAUCAAAUAUAGUUCAUUGUUGAGCUUGCUCAGUUUCUAGGUUGUGGACAAUUCUGAUAAUCGCUCGCUUGCUCCCAAAAACUAUCAGCAAUCUUUUAAAAAAAUUUCUUCAAUUCUUCCUAUUGCUAGGACCAAAACUCACAACACGAAACAAAAACAAAAAUAUCAUUUGAAGUAAAACAAGUAAAAACCAUACUGAAAUUAACAGGAAUGCAUGAUAACAGUAAAGGAAAUGUGCAAAAUACUAUAGAAACAGUAUGCAAGAUGCAAACAAGUCAAUUCUCAAUAGGACACCAAUGCAAUCUAGAGAAAGAAAAUUUAAGUAUUACUCACUAUAACAAGAAAAACAACAAAUAUUAACUUACUAGAGCAUAAGACUUCUACAGAAGUUCCAAUGGCUACUGGAAUUCUGCUCUCUAACCGAAUAUACACUACCUGAAUGAUUCUUCACUACGAUCCCUCCGCACUCCUAACAUUCUCUACAAAUAUCCAACCUACUCAUGCAUUCAAUUCCUCUUUUGCCCCUUUGUUCUUUCUCUUCCUCACAUAUAGCCUACAGACCUUAAGCCUAUCAAUUGAUGCCAAUAACUAAUCUAGAUCAUUUUGAGUAGCCUUAUCUAAUUUUUAUGUUACGGUUUUAAAUUGUUAGGUCAACGGUAGUAAAAUCAUUAGGUUUAGAACAAAUUUGCAUGUAAAUAACUUAGAGUAAACAAAUAAAUUGGGUCCCUAAAGUAUCAAAACUUAAAUUUCCUAAAAAUGUGGGCUACGAUAGAUAAAUCAUGAGAAAGGAUAUGAGGAGUACGACAUGCAUAUUGUACACAUAAUGCGAAAAUAUGUGCAUGCACAUUGCACACAAGUAACACUAAAACUAAAAAAUGUUAAGGCAACCCAAUUUCCCCAUACUUAAAUGUCAUGUUGCAUCCAAUGUUAAAGCAAAGAUAAAGAGGAGAAAAAUGAAAGAACUCACAAAAUUUGCUCACUUGAUUCCAAAAGCUACCGACAAUGUUUUCUAACAAAAUUCUUCAGAUCUUGCCAAGUCUAGGACCAAAACUCAACUACAAACACAACAAGAAAAAAAAAACAAAUCAUUUGAACUACAACAUGCAAUAUGCAUGUAUUAGCAAGAAUGCAUGAUACAACUAAAGAAAAUAGGGAAAAUACUAUAAAAAUUUACUAAAUAAAGUGGGUUACAUAGGUAAAUUAUGAUCACUAUAACAACCAAAACAGAAAAUGAAACCAACCAGAGCAUAUGGCUUCUAUAGAGGUUCCAAUUCCUAUUGGAAUUCUCUCUCUAAUCGUGUAUAACCCAGUAUGAUUCUACACUAUGAUCCCCCCACACUCAUAACUUGCCCUCCUAACUUACUCAUGCAUUUAGUCCCUUUUUUUCGCUUUGUACUUUCUCCUUCUCACAUACCUCCACACAUUGGGUCCUAUAACUCUUCAUGAUCCACAACCCCAUCUGGGCCAUUUUAUGUUGUGCUAUCUAAAGCUAUAUUACGGUUUUAAAUUGAUAGAUCAAUGGUAAAAUAAUAGCUUUAUAAUUGUGUAUGGCAUGUAUAACCCAGUAUGAUUCUCCACGAUGACCCCGCUACACUCAUAACCUGCCCUCCUAUCUUACUCAGGCAUUCAAUCCCGGUUUUUUUCCGCUUUGUACUUUCUCUUUUUCACAUAUACUCUUCCACACCCUAUAACUGUUCAGGAACCAAAACCCCAUCUGGACCAUUUUAUGUUGUGCUAUCUAAAGCUAUAUUGCAGAUAUAAAUUGAGAGGUCAAUGGUAAAAUAAUAGUUUCAUAAUAAGUUUGCAUGUAAAUAACUUAAAUUAAACAAUUAAACAAACAAAUUAGGUCCCUGGAGUAUUAACACUAAAAUUUCCGAAAGAGGAUAGGCUAAGAUAGAGAAAUGCAAAAAUAAACGAAAGAAUAUGAUGAGUACUACAUGCUGUAAUGCAAACUUAAUGCAAAAAUUUGUGCAUGCAAACAAAUAACACUAAAAAUAAAAAUGCUAAUGCAACUCAAUCUCCCCAUGCUUAAUGUUACAUAUCCACAAUGUUAAAGCAAAACUAAAGAGGAGAAAGGAAAGAACUCAUAAAAUCAACUAGGUGGAGGAUAAUGGCCUUGAGAAAGGUGUUAGUUGUGCAUUACUCACAAAUGGAUGACAUUUUUUGUUGUGCAUCUCUCAUGUAAUCUAAUAUUGUGUGUUGUUUGAGCUUGCUCUAUUUCUAGGUUGGGGUGUUUUCUAAUUUGGUCUAAAUUUCAAUAUCUCACUACCAAAAGAUAACGGCAAUUUUUUCUAACAAAUCAUUUAAACUAAAACAAGUAAAAUCCAACCUGAAAUUAACAGGAAUGCAUGAUAACACUUCAGAAAAAAUGCAAAGUACUAUGGAAAUAGUAUGGAAGAUGCACACACAUCAAUUCUCUAUAGGACACCAAUGUAAUCUAGAGAAAGAAAAUUUAUGUAUUACUCACUAUAACAAGAAAAACAACAAAUAUAAACUUACUAGAGCCUAAGACUUCUACAGAAGUUCCAAUGGGUACUGGAAUUCUGCUCUCUAACCGAAUAUACACUACCUGGAAGAUUCUUCACUACAAUCCCACCACACUCCAAACAUUCUCUACAAAUAUCCAACCUACUCAUGCAGUCAAUUCCUCUUUUGCCCCUUUGUUCUUUCUCUUCCUCACAUAUACCCUACAGACCUUAAGCCUAUCAAUUGGUGCCAAUAACUAAUCUAGAUCCAAAGCCCCGUAAGACACUACCUGAACGAUUCUUCACUACGAUCCCUCCAUACUCCAAACAUUCUCUACAAAUAUCCAACCUACUAAUGCAUUCAAUUCCUCUUUUGCCCCUUUGUUCUUUCUCUUUCUCACAUAUACCCUACAGAAACUUCCAAUGUCUGCAUCAUGAAAGAACUAUUUGGCAGCUAAAGAUAAGAGACUAUGGGAUAGAAACAAAAAGACACUACUAAAGCUUAAAAUUAAGAAAUAUAGUGGCAAGCUGCACCUUUGUUGUCUUUGUGAUCUGGUCAAUGUCUCCUAAGAACUUCAUCGCAAGUCCCUCAAAAUAGUACAUCAAAGUAGAUUCGAUCAAAAAUGGAAGGUCUCUCGGUCUUGUUGGCAUCUCAUAUUAUGUAUGAAUGAUAAUCAAACACAUAAAGAAAUAUAACCACAAAGGGCUACAUGAAUGAAAGCCACAAAUAAAACACAACAACGAGAACAAAAAAAUUCCAGUGUUUUAAUAGAUAAUUAAAGAAUUUUGCAUGUAAGUUGCGCCUAGGUUCACAAGUUACGUACAAAAUGCUUUAAUUACUAAAAAAUAUUAACUAAACCUAUUGACAUAGCAAUAUACCAGAAUAAAUUACUGUGACUGCUAAAAAAACCAUAAUUAACACAACCUGCCACCUUGGUAGAAGCGUACUACCAACUACUUCGGUUGCGAAAGCUAGAGGAAUGUAGUAGCAACUCUACGAUACACAAAAAAGAGAUUCUAAAUUAAAAUUCAAACAAUGUAUGAUAUGGACUCAUGAAGAAAAAGUAAACAAAAAAACUCGUAUUAGCUAACUGACUACCACAUCGGGAAGAAACCAUGGUGAAGGGCCUCAAAAACUGGUUGUCUUUUGCAUGGAUCAUAGAAGCAAGGUGACUGCACAAAUAGCAUAAAAGAGAAUUAGAAAAUGCAUUGCACAUAAUUAGUUGAUAAAUAGUAAGGGAUAGGACACAGAAUUGAAUUCCCUUUAUUGCUUUCCUCAACUUCCUUAGCUUCCUCCUUGACCGUCAAAUAUCCACUGUCUGAAACCUGAGAAAAAGACAUUUCAACAAACCUUAAGUUAAAAAGAGACAAGAGAAGGGAGGGAUAGAAUUUUGAAGAUGACUAAUGCUUUAAACACAUGAGAAGAGAGUAGUGCGAAACACCUCCGUCGCCAUCCUAACCUAGUCAUGGUUCUUAAUAUACUUUAUCACAUACGCUACAAAAAACGAUGAUUCUCAAUCAAAAUCACUACAAAAUAAAAGCUUAAUAUGAGCAUUAUAAAUUAAAAGGAGAGAAAACAACCCAAACUACUUUAAAGACCAUGGCACCUAGAAGAAACCAUGGUAAAGGGCUUCUAAGUUGUUGGUCUCUUGCAGUGAUCUUAGCAGCAAAGUUACUGCACUAACAGCAUAAAGGAUAAUGUGAAAAUGCACUAAACGUAAUUAGUAGAUAAAUGGUACAUGGCUAGGAUACAUACCGAUAAAACCUUCUUUGAUAAGGCAGAUUAUAUCAUUAGUUGCAACUUGCAAACGGGAUCUAUGUGGAAAAAUGUAAACCAGUGAGCGGUAGAUAGUGAAAGGUGUAUAGUGGCAAGGGCUAACUAUAAAGUAAAUGCUGCCUAAGUUUAUCAUCCUUAGCGUAUGGGGCACUCAUUUCUCUGGUCUUUUCUUUUGUUCACAUCAAAUAGAGAAGAAGCGUGAAUAAGUUCAUACCUGAUAGUUGUUUGUUUCACCGACUCAAUUCCCUCCUAAUCCUAGAAACUUCCAAUGUCUGCAUCAUGAAAGAACUAUUUUUCAGCAAAAAUUAAGAGACUGUGGGAUAGAAACAAAAAGACACUACUAAUGCUUAAAAUUAAAAAAUAUAGUGGUGAGCUGCACCUUUGUUGUCUUUGUGAUCUGGUCAAUGUCUCCUAAGAACUUCAUCGCAUGCCCCUCAAAAUAGUACAUCAAAGUAGAUUCGAUAAAAAAUGGAAGGUCUCUCUGUUUUGUUGGCAUCUCAUAUUAUGUAUGAAUGAAUAUCAAACAUAUAAAGAAAUAUAACCGCAGAGGGCUACAAGAAUGAAAGCCACAAAUAAAACACAACAACGAGAACAAAAAAAAUUCAGUGUUUUAAUAGAUAAUUAAAGAAUUUUGCAUGUAAGUUGCGCCUAGGUUCACAAGUUGCGUGCAAAAUGCUUUAAUUACUAAAAAAUAUUAACUAAACCAAUUGACAUAGCGAUAUACCAGAAUAAAUUAAUGUGACUGCUAAAAAAACCAUAAUUAACACAACCUGCCACCUUGGUAGAAGCGUACUUCCAACUGCUUCGGUUGCGAAAGCUGGAGGAAUGUAGUAGCAACUCUAAGAUACACAAAAAAGAGAUUCUAAAUUAAAUUCAAACAAUGUAUGAUAUGGACUCAUGAAGAAGAAGUAAACAAAAAAACUCGUAUUAGGUAACAGACUACCACAUCGGGAAGAAUCCAUGAUCAAGGGCCUCAAAAACUGGUUGUCUUUUGCAUGAAUCAUAGAAGCAAGGUGACUGCACAAAUAGCAUAGAAGAGAAUUAGAAAAUGCAUUGCACAUAAUUUGUUGAUAAAUAGUAAGGGAUAGGACACAUAGAAUUUAAUUCCCUUUAUUGCUUUCCUCAACUUCCUUAGCUUCCUCCUUGACCAUCAAAUACCCAUUGUCUGAAACCUGAGAAAAAGACAUUUCAACAAACCUUAAGUUAAAAAGAUACAAGAGAAGGGAGGGAUAAAAUUUUGAAGAUGACUAAUGCUUUAAACACUUGAGAAGAGAGUAGUGCGAAACACCUCCGUCGGCAUCCUAACCUAGUCAUGGUUCUUAAUAUACUUUAUCACAUAAGCUACAAAAAAAAGAUGAUUCUCAAUCAAAAUGCCAACAAAAUAAAAGCUUGAUUUGAGCAUUAUAAAUUAAAAGGAGACAAAAGAACCCAAACUACUUAAAAGACCACCUCACCUUGAAGAAACCAUGGUAAAGGGCCUCUGAAGUUGUUGGUCUCUUGCAGUGAUCUUAGCAGCAAAGUUACUGCACUAAAAGCAUAAAGGAUAAUGUGAAAAUGCACUAAACGUAAUUAGUAGAUAAAUGGUACAUGGCUAGGAUACAUACCAAUAAAACCUUCUGUGGUAAUGCCGAUUACAUCAUUAGUUGCAACUUGCAAAUUGGAUCUAUGUGGAAAAAUGUAAACCAGUGAGCGGUAGAUAGGGAAAGGCGUAUAAUGGCAAGGGCUAACUAUAAAGUAAAUGCUGCCUAAGUUUAUCUUCCUUAGCGUAUAGGGCACUCAUUUCUCAGCUCUUUUCUUUUGUUCACAUGAAAUAGAGAAGAAGCGUGAAUUAGUUCAUACCUGAUGGUUGUUUGUCUCACCGACUCAAUUCCCUCCUAAUCCAAGAAACUUCCAAUAUCUGCAUCAUGAAAGAAAUAUUUUUCAGCAAAAAUUAAGAGAGCCUGUGGGAUAGAAACAAAAAGACACAAACGAUUAAAAUUAAGAAAGAUAGGUGGGAGCUGCAGCCUUAUUGUCUUUGUGAACAGGUCAAUGUCUCCUAAGAACUUGAUCAUGUGCGCCUGAAAAUAGAUGCAUCAUAGUAGAUUCAACCAAAAAUAGAAGGUCUAUCUGUCUUGUUGGCAUCUUAUAUUAUGUAUGAAUGAAUAUCAAACACAUAAUGAAAUAUAACCACAGAGGGAGACAUGAAUGACAAGCCAUAAAUAUAAUAGAAUGUCGAGAGUAAAAGCUCCAAUGUAUAAAUAUAUAAUUAUAGCAUUUUGCAUGUACGUGCGCCUAGGUUCACAAGUUACAUACAAAAUGCUUUAAUUACUCAAAAACAAUUAACCAAAAUACCAUACCUGUUGAUCAAAGUAAUAUACCAAAAUAACUUACUGUGACAAGGCCGAUUGCAUCACCUAUUGAAAAUCCAAUUACUGUUGAAAGAUGCGCACCAGCAAGCUAUAGAAAGUAAAAGAAAAAUAGUGUCAAGUGCUAGGUAGAAUGUCAAUAACGUGUACCUUGGUCAUAACAAGCAUAAAGAAUACUCACUUCUAUGUUUUACUCUAUUGUUCAAGGUACGUGAGCACUAUUAAUGAAUUCAGACCUCAUCAUUGCUAUCAACUUCUACGGUUCCCUCCAUGACCAUGAAUUGUCGCUGUGUGAAACCUGCGAGAGAUAUUUCAACAAAACUCAAGACCAAAGACAUUCAAGAGAGAGAGGGAAGGAUAUAAAAAUGAAGAUGACUAAUGCUUAAAAACAAAGAGAAGAUUGUGGUGAGGAACACCUUCGUCGUUUUCCCGAACUAGUCAAGGUACUUAAAGAAGUAAAUCACAUGUUCCUCGGAGUUGGGUAAAACACCAGAAAAAUUACUUGUGGUCUAGUGCCCCUACUAGUUCUAGUUUAAAAAAUUACAAUUACUAUUUAAACAAGUUAAAGCAAAGGACUCAUCAUGAGCCUGAAGCAGAACUUCAAGAGAACGAUACCUAAUCAAAAACCAUACCAUAUAAUUAAUUCAAUACCUAACAAACAAAACCAUUAUAUAUCUAUAGCUAGUCAAUAGCACAUACUAUUGAGUGGAGACAUACUCAGGUAUAUAAAUCAAGAGAAAGAAUAUGAUUAGUACCACAUGCUAUUCUGCAACCAUAAUUUAAAAAUAUGUGCAUGCAAAUAAAUAACUCUGAAAAUAAAAAGGUUAUUGCAACUCAAUCUCCCCAGGCUUAAAUGUUACGUUGUCCCCAAUGUUAAAGUAAAGUUAAAGAGGAGAAAAAGGAAAGAAAACUCACAAAAUCAACUAGGCGGUGGAUAAUGGCGUUGUUAGUGAUGCAUAGCUCGCAUAAUGGCUGACAUUUCUUGUUGUACAGCUCAAAUGUCAUCAAAUAUAGUUCAUUGUUGAGCUUACUCUGUUUCUAGGUUGUGGACAAUUCUGAUAAUCGCUCGCUUGCUCCCAAAAACUAUCGGCA